rnacentral:lncRNA from 1 species
AGUUCUUGAUUGACAGCCCGGCACUUGUUUACCACGGCGCGGCCGCCGCCGCUCGCUUCAAUGAGACUGCUGAGCUGGCACAAAAAGGGAGCGAAGAGGGAAGAAAGGGAAAGGAAGGCGAACUUCGGGCGCCUUCGAGGGGAGCGAAUUUAAAUGGCCCCCAGCUCAUCAGCUAGUUUUUGGUUCUGAAAUCCGUUCAGGGGAAUUUGCACAGGGGACGAGGAAAAUUGUAUGGAGACAUAAGCGAAUCACCAUGAUUUUUAAAUGAAAAUGAUGAUAAUUCCGAAGAAGGCUUCCACACUAUUCAUUCAGGAAGGCAUGAAUAUGCAUUCAGCUUCGAGCUUCCACAGACACCACUCGCUACCUCAUUCGAAGGCCGACAUGGCAGUGUGCGCUAUUGGGUGAAAGCCGAAUUGCACAGGCCUUGGCUACUACCAGUAAAAUUAAAGAAGGAAUUUACAGUCUUUGAGCAUAUAGAUAUCAACACUCCUUCAUUACUGUCACCCCAAGCAGGCACAAAAGAAAAGACACUCUGUUGCUGGUUCUGUACCUCAGGCCCAAUAUCCUUAAGUGCCAAAAUUGAAAGG